rnacentral:lncRNA from 1 species
GCCUUACAGGCGUGCUUGCCCACAGCCCUAUCUUAAGGAUGCAUUUUUACAAUUGUAGCUUACUAUACCAGUAAUUAGCUUGUGUCAAGUUGACAUAAAAGUAGCCAGUGCACACUCAUACAAAGUACUAAAACAUGGAAGUAAAAUGAGAGUUCACAAAUAUUUUAAUUUUUAGGUGCAACAAAACCGGUCUCAUUUGAAGGUGCUUGAACAAAUAUUUUCUAAAAACUUGUCAUGGAGAGUGAUUGAAACAAGCUACCAGGACUACAUUUGCCAAUAGCAAGCAUGGAGGUGGCUGUAGUGGAUGUCCAGCUUUGGGAGCUGCGAUUCCUAAAGACCCUUUAUUGUUUUGGGUAAGUUUGCUUGAUCAGUCAUGUAUCUGGAUUCGGUAAUGUUUGAUAACACUGAGGGACUGGAGCCAGUUCGUUUUGAAGAUCAUUAGGGUGAACACCUGGGCCUAGUUUGAGAUGGAAGAAAAAUGAUUUUGGGUUUCUGACUGUUUUUUUUUCUUUUGGGAAGGUGCAGCUUACAUAUUGGAAGGUAAAACGAAGACCAUGAACAAAGUCAAGAAACCAUGAACAGAAGCAAUUGGUGAAAAUUAAUAUUUAAUUUAAUAUUAAUAAGUUAUAUAUAAAUAAACAGUUAUUCUU